GACGUACGUCUACGAGAGGGUUUCGGAUUCUGGCUCAGGAUGAACGCUAGCUACAGGCUUAACACAUGCAAGUCGAGCGCUCGUAGCAAUACGAGAGCGGCAGACGGGAGAGUAACACGUGGGAACGUACCCUUCGGUCGGAAUAACCCAGGGAAACUUGGGCUAAUACCGAAUACGUCCGUAAGGAGAAAGAUUUAUCGCCGAAGGAUCGGCCCGCGUCCGAUUAGCUAGUUGGUGAGGUAAUGGCUCACCAAGGCGACGAUCGGUAGCUGGUCUGAGAGGAUGAUCAGCCUCACUGGGACUGAGACACGGCCCAGACUCCUACGGGAGGCAGCAGUGGGGAAUAUUGGACAAUGGGCGCAAGCCUGAAUCCAGCCAUGCCGCGUGGGUGAUGAAGGCCUUAGGGUUGUAAAGCCCUUUCGGCGGGGAAGAUAAUGACGGUACCCGCAGAAGAAGCCCCGGCUAACUUCGUGCCAGCAGCUGC
rnacentral:rRNA from 1 species